rnacentral:rRNA from 1 species
AUGGUUUCUCUUGGCUAUAUGGUUCAUAUGGGGGGGAUCAAGCUUCAAGAAAUUGUGAAUGGUCUUGUCAAUACACAAAUGUAUAACUCCCCAAGACUUUCAAUUCUGCUUAUAUCCAUCACUGUAGGACUUGGGUUUAAGCUUUCGCCAGCAACUUUUCAUCAAUGGACUCCUGACGUCUACGAAGGAGUAUGGUUCAUUCGACAAAUUCCUACCUCUAUAUCUAUCUCUGAGGUUCGUUGCUUUUUCUUUUUGUUACUUCGAAAGUAG